AACGCACAUUGCGCCCUUUGGUAUUCCUUAGGGCAUGCCUGUUCGAGCGUCAUUUACACCUUCAAGCACAGCUUGGUGUUGGGCGUCUGUCCUCUUGGACUCGCCUCAAAAAGAUUGGCAGCCACUUCAGCGGCUUAGAGCGCAGCAGAAUUGCGUCCUCUGGCAGCGGAAAGCGGCAUCCAUAAGCUUUCUUUCAUUUUGACCUCGGAUCAGGUAGGGAUACCCGCUGAACUUAA
rnacentral:misc_RNA from 1 species